rnacentral:snoRNA from 1 species
CGCGCGGAUUAACUUACUGGUCUGCCCCAGUGGUACCUAUGGGCAGCUCAGUAUACGCCCUCGCGACACCAAACCCCCACGGCUCCUUGCGUCCUCCACUUGCCCGCCGCCGCGUCUUGCGGUCGCGGGUCGUCAGGACAGCGCUGCCGACAAAU